GCCAGCGGCUAUAUCACCCUGCAGCUCACACUCCAGGCAUGAGCCUGGCCAGUUCCUGGAUGGGAGACCUCCUGGGAAAGCUGGGGUUGCUGUUG
rnacentral:rRNA from 1 species